rnacentral:rRNA from 1 species
ACCCGUCUUGAAGCACGGACCAAGGAGUCUAACAUUUAUGCGAGUGUUUGGGUGUCAAGCCCGAGCGCGUAAUGAAAGUGAACGGAGGUAGGAACCCGCAAGGGUGCACUAUCGACCGAUCCUGAUGUCUUCGGAAGGAUUUGAGUAAGAGCAUGGCUGUUGGGACCCGAAAGAUGGUGAACUAUGCUUGAAUAGGGUGAAGCCAGAGGAAACUCUGGUGGAGGCUCGCAGCGAUUCUGACGUGCAAAUCGAUCGUCAAACUUGGGUAUAGGGGCGAAAGACUAAUCGAACCAUCUAGUAGCUGGUUCCCUCCGAAGUUUCCCUCAGGAUAGCUGGCGCUCGAACGCAGUUUUAUCUGGUAAAGCGAAUGAUUAAAGGCCUUGGGGCCGAAACUACCUCGACCUAUUCYCAAACUUUAAAUUGGUAAAAAGUCCGACUCCCUCGAUUGGAGCCGGGCGACGAAUGCGAAUGCCCAGUGGGCCACUUUUGGUAAGCAGAACUGGCGC